AGCUACUACAAAUCUAACUGUCUUCUGUUUGAUGAAUAUGGAAAAUUGGACACCUCCCAUGUCUAUAUUUAUGCCAUGCAAACUCAUGAAUACCCAGCACACCUAAUGGAAGAUCAGAAGCAGGAAGUUUCCAAGGAUGGUGUUCUCUUGGUGAGAACAAAGCCAGGGGAGCUGCACGUGGGAUAACAUCCUUGACUGGUAACAAAUCCUGGCACUUGACACAGAAUCAGACUGAAGACCUGGAGACAAUGGUGUCCUUUGGAGAAGUUCCUUGCUCUGAGUGCAGUGGAGAAGAAACCCAGUUAGGUUGCUCUGACCAUAGGUGAGCAACAUGCAUGUCCAGAGAGCUUUAACACCAUAGAUGGCAGCAUAGCUGGAGGUGGGCAGUCACUAGGAUUCAUUAAUUAGUGUGUCCCUGCUGGACAACAAAUGUAUGAAAUUAAAACUGAACAGUUUUUGGUUUAGUAUCACAAAUAGUUGUUUGUUUGGGGUUUUGUUGGUGAAAUUCCCCAUGGCAAUUCACAACAAUAAGGUUUCUGGCAAUUGUAAAUAAAGUUAUAAAUGAAAAAAAAA